rnacentral:rRNA from 1 species
UACGUAGGGGGCAAGCGUUGUCCGGAUUUAUUGGGCGUAAAGAGCGUGUAGGCGGCCUGACAGGUCUGCUGUGAAAACUCGAGGCUCAACCUCGAGAUGUCGGCGGAAACCGUCUGGCUAGAGUCCGGAAGAGGAGAGUGGAAUUCCCGGUGUAGCGGUGAAAUGCGCAGAUAUCGGGAAGAACACCCGUGGCGAAGGCGGCUCUCUGGGGACGGUACUGACGCUGAGACGCGAAAGCGUGGGGAGCGAACAGG